CCUACGGGUGGCAGCAGUGAGGAAUAUUGGUCAAUGGGCGCGAGCCUGAACCAGCCAAGUCGCGUGAGGGAAGACGGUCCUAUGGAUUGUAAACCUCUUUUGUCGGGGAGCAAAAGACGCCACGCGUGGCGUUCCGAGAGUACCCGAAGAAAAAGCAUCGGCUACCUCCGUGCCAGCAGCCGCGGUAAUACGGAGGAUGCGAGCGUUAUCCGGAUUUAUUUGGUUUACAGGGUGCGCAGGCGGAAGAUGAAGUCAGCGGUAAAAUUGAGAGGCUCAACCUCUUCGAGCCAUUGAAACUGGUUUUCGUGAGUGAGUGAGAAGUAUGCGGAAUGCGUGGUGUAGCGGUGAAAUGCAUAGAUAUCACGUAGAACUCCGAUUGCGAAGGCAGCAUACCGGCGCUCAACUGACGCGCAUGCACGAAAGUGUGGGUAUCGAACAGGAUUAGAUACCCGAGUAGUC
rnacentral:rRNA from 1 species